rfam:Trichobilharzia regenti genome assembly, scaffold: TRE_scaffold0104577
AUCCAGUUGACGAGUGUCAAACAGGACGAAAUGUGCAUUCUGUAU